CAUGCUAGACGUAGUUUGAUCAUGGCUCAGAACGACGCUGGCGGCAUGCCUAACACAUGCAAGUCGAACGAAGGCUUCGGCCUUAGUGGCGCACGGGUGCGUAACGCGUGGGAACCUGCCCCUCGGUUCGGAAUAACAGUUAGAAAUGACUGCUAAUACCGGAUGAUGACUUCGGUCCAAAGAUUUAUCGCCGAAGGAUGAGCCCGCGUAGGAUUAGGUAGUUGGUAGGGUAAUGGCCUACCAAGCCGACGAUCCUUAGCUGGUCUGAGAGGAUGAUCAGCCACACUGGGACUGAGACACGGCCCAGACUCCUACGGGAGGCAGCAGUGGGGAAUAUUGGACAAUGGGCGAAAGCCUGAUCCAGCAAUGCCGCGUGAGUGAUGAAGGCCUUAGGGUUGUAAAGCUCUUUUACCAGGGAUGAUAAUGACAGUACCUGGAGAAUAAGCUCCGGCUAACUCCGUG
rnacentral:rRNA from 1 species